rnacentral:rRNA from 1 species
GAUGAACGCUGGCGGCGUGCCUAACACAUGCAAGUCGAACGGAGUCCAGCCUUAGAGACCUUCGGGUCAAAGAGGGGAAGCCUGAGUGGCGGACGGGUGAGUAACACGUGGGCAACCUGGCUCAUAGAGGGGGAUAACAGAGAGAAAUUUCUGCUAAUACCGCAUAAGCACACACUGCCGCAUGGCAGAGUGUGAAAAGAGAAUCGCUAUGAGAUGGACCCGCGUCUGAUUAGCCAGUUGGCAGGGUAAGAGCCUACCAAAGCGACGAUCAGUAGCCGAUUUGAGAGGAUGAACGGCCACAUUGGGACUGAGACACGGCCCAAACUCCUACGGGAGGCAGCAGUGGGGGAUAUUGCACAAUGGGGGGAACCCUGAUGCAGCGACGCCGCGUGAGUGAAGAAGUAUUUCGGUAUGUAAAGCUCUAUCAGCAGGGAAGAUAAUGACAGUACCUGAAGAAGAAGCCCCGGCUAACUACGUG